UUUUAUAUAAUACAUUACAUUUAUAGUUCUAUCUCUAUGCUCGUAAACGCAUCUGCUGCAGACGUCGUCCAUCCACCUCACGCACGCGUUCCGGUCACCAGAGAAAAAGACGCGAAGUACAAAGAUGAGUGGAGAAGGUGAGAGUGAGCUGUCAAAGCAA